rnacentral:rRNA from 1 species
CCUACGGGUGGCAGCAGUGAGGAAUAUUGGUCAAUGGUCGAAAGUCUGAACCAGCCAAGUAGCGUGCAGGAUGACGGCCCUAUGGGUUGUAAACUUCUUUUAUCCGGGCAUAAAAUGCAUCACGUGUGCCUUUUUGCAUGUACUGUAUGAAUAAGGAUCGGCUAAUUCCGUGCCAGCAGCCGCGGUAAUACGGAGGGUCCGGGCGUUAUCCGGAUUUAUUGGGUUUAAAGGGAGCGUAGACGGGUAGUUAAGCGAGUUGUGAAAUCGCGCGGCUCAACCGUGACAUUGCGAUUGAGACUGGCUGGCUUGAGUACGGUUGAGGUAUGCGGAAUUCGUGGUGUAGCGGUGAAAUGCUUAGAUAUGACGAAGAACUCCGAUUGCGAAGGCAGCCUACUGAACCGGUACUGACGCUGAUGCUCGAAGGCGUGGGUAUCAAACAGGAUUAGAUACCCCAGUAGUC